AUUGAACGCUGGCGGCAGGCUUAACACAUGCAAGUCGAACGAGUGGCGGACGGGUGAGUAAUGCUUGGGCAUCUAGCUUCUGGAGGGGGAUAACUACGGGAAACUGUAGCUACUACCGCGUACCAUAGGAUGAGCCCAAGUGGGAUUAGGUAGUUGGUGAGGUAGAGGCUCAUCAAGCCGAGGAUCCCUAGCUGGUCGGAGAGGAUGAACAGCAACACUGGGAUUGAGACACGGCCCAGACCAAGACGGGAGUCAGCGUUGGGGAAUAUAGCGCAAUGGGGACAACCUGACGCAGCCAUGCCGCGUGAAUGAAGAAGGCCUUCGGGUUGUAAAGUUAUUUCGGUAGGGAGGCGUUAACUACAGAAGAAGCACCGGCUAACUCCGUGCCAGCAGCAGCGGUAAUAC
rnacentral:rRNA from 1 species